GCAUCAUCACCUGGCCACAAUGAAGGAUCACACCUGGGGGUACUUGUCAGCUGUUGCUAAACAAUACAGUUUAUUGUGAGUACCGCGACUGAUGGAAAAAAAUGCACAUGCACACUUUGGCAAGAUUAAUCACAUAUCAUUAUCUUUAACUAAGUCACUUACUGCCCUGUUCUGCUGUUCUCCUCCAUAGCACUUACUUGUUCCUUGUCAUUUAUAUAUUUUCUGAACCUCUUCAUUUGGAUGCUUGUGAUGUGCGUCACUGGUGUGUUCAACCACCUCUUCACAGAACUGUGUGCCUUCUGAAUGACCUCCCUCUGCUCAUCACUGAACUUCUCAGGUCCGUCCUUUUGGCUGCUGUACUGACAAUGUAAUUCCCACAUCUCUUGAAAGGUGGGAUGUUCAAACCCUUUCUGACCAUAGAUGCACCUGUCAAUGUUGGCCUUGAGGACUACAGAGACUUGCAUAUUCUGUGAGGUAAUCCUUCACCCACUGGUUCCCUAUCUCUCCCUUUCUUUGUGGAUUUGUCACCUCUGUUCUGUGCCUGUCAAGUAUGCUGGAAUCAUACAUACUGUCAGCAAUAUCUCCGUGAAUAUUACAAGAAAGUUUACAACGAACAAGAUAUACUAAUAAUUGCCUUACACGGGGAAAUGUGCAGUAAAUGGAAGUUCAGUAAACCUGCCUAUAGUAUGGUAUUAAAUAUAUGAUACACUCACUACUUCAUAUAUCCCCCACAUUUUCAUAUUAUCCAAAUGGCACCACCAGCUUUCCCAGGCACUGCUGACGUGAAGGCGCGUGGAUACCCUCGGCUUGAAGAAGCUUCUCUGCGUGAAUCAAUGCAGUGAUUUGGCUGAGCAGCUCCUGUGGAGGUUUGGGGAAGACCAUACUUCUCACCCGGUAGUAACGUACCUCUUUGGUUGCCAUAAGUAGUGCCAGCUGAUGAUGUGCAGGGGCAUCUGGAUUAACUACCCAAAUCGUUGGUGUCGCCAUACCAGGACUAGAAAUUGGAGUUAAAAAAGGUUAAAUUAGGUAUUCAGCGUCGUGUACUUUAGCUAAAUCCAGGAGUGUCUUAGAGUCGAUAACUUACCGUAAACAUAAAAGAAAUGUCAGUUUCCAUAAAAAAUAGUGGACUUGCCGGCUUCCUCGCUGUUCCGCUGCAUUUUGUUGUUUUGGUGACGCAACUUCCGUUGACCAGACGAUUGGUCGUCUACAGUGGGAUUCGGUGCUCCUAUUGACCUGAGUCUACAGUGUCUAUGUUCACCGUAGACUCCGGGCCAAUGAAAAGACGUAACGGUCUACAGACAGUGUAGACUCUGCACUACCGUAGACUCGACUUCUGCGAACUAGGAUUGUGCAACACAAAGUAAGUCACUGAGCGUGUAAUACUGCAACAGCUCCUCAAUAGGGUCUGCAAACCUUUCUAGUUUCCGUAGACCAAGAAAACACUCUUUGAAAUGGCCUUUACAUGACACAAAACAUACACAAACUGCAAGUUGUUCCGUGUGCCCAUCUCUAGCCUCAUCAGCCAUAACAGAGUACAUCUUAGCUUCCUUCAUCUCUUUAACUAUAUUUCCAGUUAUUUCAUGUGAAAUACUGGUUAUCAUCUCAUUUUGUGAAAAAUGAGACAGAUAGAUAAUAUGUGAGACAGGACUGUAAUUUUUGAAAUAUUGAUCAAAUAAUCUUCUGCAGCUUCAUGCACUCAAGGAAGUUCCCUUGAUGAUGACUGGUGGAUUCCUGCUGAUCAUGGCCACAGAAUGGUAUUCCUUGUUUUCCAAGGAAACUUGUUACAGCUAAGAUCCUGUGGAGAUACUGUCGUGUUGUUUGCUGAUGUAAGUUCCUCAACAACAUCACCUUGAUUUUUUGUGGUUUUAAAGCUGUGCCAGCUUAUCAUAGACGACGAACAGUUGGAACUCUUUUCGUACUCCUAAAGGCAUCUAAAGCCCUCUUCCAGUUGCAGAACCCUGAAAGACCGAGGCCAUCUUUUUUUUUUUUUUUUUUUUAAGUAUUCUGCUUUUCAAAAUGCGACAUGAAAAAAAGAAAGCAAAGUUCGUCACAACUGAAUACUCCUACCAUUUAAACUGUUCAACUCUUAUUGAACGCCCUCUGCUGGCCUCCAAACUGGCUCAGUGGAAACUGUGUGAGGACAGUUUGUCUUGGACCACUUCCUAGAGUUCCUAAAUCAUCUCCUGCUGCUCCUUCCAGUAAACCUCCUUCAGCUGUCCUUAACGAUCCACCUGCUGCUUCCUGCUGUGAUGCUGUUGUGUUUUGGUUUUCUGUCGCUUUCCUGAUUUCCCCUGACCUAUCUGAAAGAUCAGAAAGAGAAUCAUUACUAUUUAAUGAUCCCUCUGUAUUGGUCUUCAUGAGUUACUACUUUGUACCAUAUUAUUUUUUAAUUCUACCAAAGUCCACUAUUUAGAUUCAGAAAAGUUUAUGUAAUUAUUUAGCCUUGUUGUGCAAACAAGCCUGCAUAACUUAACAAAUGUAGAAUUUGAAAAAUACCAAACCUAAAAAGAGUUGUAAUAAGUUUUGGCAAACAACCAUUUGACUAACAUGUGUGUCUCACCUGGCUCUUGUUCCAUCUCUGUUCUGUCCUCAUUCUCCUCUCUGUUCCUCUCUCUCCCUCUCUGUGCUGACAAUCAAGCCACCAUCAACACCAACAUCAUCAAAUAUACAGCUGAAACCAGAUAUUUACAUACUCUUCAGAUAAAAACACAAAACAUCAAAUCAGACUAAAUAUUUUUUUUUGAUUGAUAAAUAUAAAAAACAUAUUUGUUAACUUUAAGAGUAAAGAAAGAAAUUGUCUGUAUUUCUUAGGCUACGUCCACACGUACACGGGUAUUUUUGAAAACGGAGAUUUUCCGUUUUCGUUUUAAAAAAUAAUCCCGUCCACAAGUAAACGCAGAAAUGAAGGAAAACGCUGCUAGGAACAUGCCAAAGCAACAGGUGGCGAUAUAUUCCUAACCGUGUAGAAAUGUUGGCCAAUCAGAAGUCUAGACGCCUCGGUGGGAAAUAGUAAACAAAGAUGGGGCAUAGAAGCAGAACCGAGUCGUAUGUGUGGAGGGACAGUAACUGUGUGUGUAUAUGUAAGCAUUUAAACACUGCAGAGAGUACAAUUAACAGUAUUGUAGAAAUUCAUUUAACCGAAACAAUAACGUGGCGCACAGUGUGACGUCAAAAAAGGCGCACACCUUUGACGCUGCGUUUUCUCCGUUUUCCUCGUCCACACGUAAAUGCAAAAACGGAGUUUUGGAAAAUAUCCACCCUGGCCGGAGUUUUUAGAAAUCUCCGUUUUCAGUGACCGAAAACGCCGUUUACGUGUGGACGAAAGGUGCAAACGCAUAGAAAAAUCGGCGUUUUCAAAAAUACCCGGGUACGUGUGGACGUAGCCUUAAUUGCAAAUGGCACCAAAUUGUAUUCAAAAUUGAGCCACACUUAUGGAGCUCCACAGUUCUUUUCCUGGUGUUUUGGUUGAUAUCUCUUGAUUUUCCCCAUGUCAAAGAAACAGGCUCUUGUCGUGUCCAAAUUCAUGGGCUGCAUCCUCCUGAGGACCCGGCCUUCGUGGACUACGUGGGCCGGGUCCUCAGAAGGUCGGGUAGGCCGGAAGUAAACAGCAGUGAAAUUGGACGGUCUAGCCUUCUGAUUAGCAUCACCGCUAAAAUAUAACAGGACACUCCAGUGUCCUGUUAUAUUUUCAAACUAAUUACACUUCUGUGUAAUCAGUUUUCUGUUUGACUUUUAUUCAGCUGUGUGAAAACACAGCUACAUUCUCACCUGAAAACAUGUUAAAAGUUUAUUUUGUGACCCAGAAAGAUUAAUAAGAGUAAUUUUAAAACUUAGUAGCGGCCGCCAUUGCCAGAAACUGGUGUUUGGCUGGGCCGCGAUAUGAAUUCUGGGAUAUGGUGGGCCACGAAGGACACACCUGACCCAUCCUUCAAAUUCGGGGAAAAGGAGGACACAUUUGUCGGCUGCAUUCGGAGUCUACGAAUUUGGACAGCCUUUGGCGUGUCACUGUGAUGUAAUCGGUCUACAAAUGCGUCCUCAGGAGGAUUUGGACACGACCGUUGUGUGUUGGGGUGCCUUAUAUGCAUCCACAGGUGUGCCCCAAUUUACUCACAUGGACUCUACUAACCUAUCAGAAGCUUCUUCAGCUCAGAAUGGAAUCGUCUGCAGUUUUCUUAUGAAUUAACAAUAAACUUAGUGUAUAUGUACUCCUAAAUUUGAUGAAAGUGAUAAUAAAUAGACAGCUCUGUCUCUCUUUA
ensembl:lncRNA